rnacentral:lncRNA from 1 species
CCAAAUGAUGAUAACGAGUGGUUAUCCCUGGUGAUGUGAGUGCAUCGAGACCACCAGAUCGUACUUUUUGUCCCCCUGUCACAUCCUCAACUCUUGACUCCCGCCUGGCACAUAGUAGGUGCUCAGUGUGCACUUGGUGACUGGAUGAACUGAAGAGCAACCUACCCAGCAGGUGACACUGCUAAUGAGUGCAGCUGGAGAUGGGAAACACCUGAUUAAGCGCAGAUACUGAUCCCAAGACACAGCCUGACUUCAGCAACAGCGCAGCAGAAGAAGCCUCCGUCCCCGAUGCAUUGGAGAGACUUCAUGGAGACUCUUUUCCAACUGCAGGGGAUGAAUACGGUUUGGUCCACCUUUUCCUCGAAAGAAACUAGACCGAGGCUGAAUUCUUUGGUUCGGUUCCCGCCGCCUGCCAGCAGCUUCUCCCCAGUUAAUCACCCCCUUCCUUCCCGAGAUACUCGGAUCCCGCCCCACUCUUUCAGCCUUCA